CUGCUUCAAUAUGGCUACCUCCAACUCCCACACUGGCUUUUUUGUUGCUGCCCUGGACAAGUCACUUAACAUCUUCCAGUCUUGGUUUCCUCAUCCAAAAAAUGGAGACAGUACCUACCUAACAGGUUUACUGUGAGAACUGGACACAAAACAUAUGCAAAGGGUGUUUUUCAAAUCUUAAAGUGCUAAAUAAAUAUAAACCUUUAUUAUAUC
rnacentral:lncRNA from 1 species